UACGGAGGGGACUAGCGUUGUUCGGAUUUACUGGGCGUAAAGGGUGCGUAGGCGGCCUAGUAAGUUAGAAGUGAAAGCCUGGGGCUCAACCCCAGAACUGCUUCUAAAACUAUUAGGCUAGAGUAUGGGAGAGGAUAGUGGAAUUCCUAGUGUAGAGGUGAAAUUCUUAGAUAUUAGGAGGAACACCGGUGGCGAAAGCGACUAUCUGGAACAUUACUGACGCUGAGGCACGAAAGCGUGGGGAGCAAACAGGAUUAGAUACCCGGGUAGUCC
rnacentral:rRNA from 1 species